rnacentral:tRNA from 1 species
UAUAUUUUGGUGUAUGAUGCACACAAAUUUUUGAUGUUUGUAGAAACAGUUUAAUUCUGUUAAAUAUAA